rnacentral:rRNA from 1 species
CGGUGUUUAACUGGCGUGAUGUGGGACGUCCUACCGGUGGGCUUAGCCUCGCGAGGGGCGGCCCAACUAAUAUCCCGUCGCGGUGCUCUUUACUGAGUGUCGAGUCGGGCCGGUACGUUUACUUUGAACAAAUUAGAGUGCUUAAAGCAGGCUAUCCUCGCCUGAAUACUGCGUGCAUGGAAUAAUGGAAUAGGACCUCGGUUCUAUUUUGUUGGUUUUCGGAACCCCGAGGUAAUGAUUAAUAGGGACAGAUGGGGGCAUUCGUAUGGCGACGUUAGAGGUGAAAUUCUUGGAUCGUCGCAAGACGGACAGAAGCGAAAGCAUUUGCCAAAAAUGUUUUCAUUAAUCAAGAACGAAAGUUAGAGGUUCGAAGGCGAUCAGAUACCGCCCUAGUUCUAACCAUAAACGAUGCCAGCUAGCGAUCCGCCGAAGUUCCUCCGAUGACUCGGCGGGCAGCUUCCGGGAAACCAAAGCUUUUGGGUUCCGGGGGAAGUAUGGUUGCAAAGCUGAAACUUAAAGGAAUUGACGGAAGGGCACCACCAGGAGUGGAGCCUGCGGCUUAAUUUGACUCAACACGGGAAACCUCACCAGGCCCAGACACCGGAAGGAUUGACAGAUUGAUAGCUCUUUCUUGAUUCGGUGGGUGGUGGUGCAUGGCCGUUCUUAGUUGGUGGAGCGAUUUGUCUGGUUAAUUCCGAUAACGAACGAGACUCUAGCCUGCUAAAUAGGCGUACCUUAUGGUAUCGCGAAGGCCCCCGGCUUCGGCCGGUGGGUUUUUACUACCAACGUACAAACAAAUCUUCUUAGAGGGACAGGCGG